AGUCAACAUUCAGUCACCUUCAGUUAACCCCAAUCACCUAAACAAUCCUGAUAUCAUCAUGGUUUCUUCAAAGAUCACCAUCCUCGCUGUCGUCAUGUUCGCCUGCAUCAUGCAUACGCAAGCUGCGUCAUCUGAUGACGAAGACAAG